rnacentral:lncRNA from 1 species
ACAGUUUUGGAUUCACUGACUGAUUAUGAAAGAAGCAGUAGACUGGUAUCAAGAAUCAGUCAGCAAGGAGGCCCUCACCAGACGCCAGUGCCAUGUUCUUGGACUUCUCAGCCUCCAUAUUCAUGAACUAAGUUUUUGGAAUCCUUAGGCUUCCACGUGUGGAAAGCCUGAGCUAACCUACUGGAGGAUGAGCCAUCACCUGGAGCAGAUUCAGGCCAUCCUAGUUGAAGCCUCCCUAGGCCAAGCAACCGUCCAACUACCAGACAUUGACCAUUCAGCCUUGAACAUUCAGCACAAAGACAAAACAGACCAGACCAGAAGAGUCCCACAGAAUAGGGGAAAC